AACGGACGCUGGCGGCAGGCUUAACACAUGCAAGUCGAACGCCCCGCAAGGGGAGUGGCAGACGGGUGAGUAACGCGUGGGAACAUACCCUUUCCUGCGGAAUAGCUCCGGGAAACUGGAAUUAAUACCGCAUACGCCCUACGGGGAAAGAUUUAUCGGGGAAGGAUUGGCCCGCGUUGGAUUAGCUAGUUGGUGGGGUAAAGGCCUACCAAGGCGACGAUCCAUAGCUGGUCUGAGAGGAUGAUCAGCCACAUUGGGACUGAGACACGGCCCAAACUCCUACGGGAGGCAGCAGUGGGGAAUAUUGGACAAUGGGCGCAAGCCUGAUCCAGCCAUGCCGCGUGAGUGAUGAAGGCCUUAGGGUUGUAAAGCUCUUCACCGAUGAAGAUAAUGACGGUAGUCGGAGAAGAAGCCCCGGCUCAACUUCGUGCCAGCAGCCGCGGUAAUACGAAGGGGGCUAGCGUUGUUCGGAAUUACUGGGCGUAAAGCGCACGUAGGCGGAUAUUUAAGUCAGGGGUGAAAUCCCGCAGCUCAACUGCGGUAAGCUGCCUUUGAUACUGGGUAUCUUGAGUAUGGAAGAGGUAAGUGGAAUUCCG
rnacentral:rRNA from 1 species